rnacentral:rRNA from 1 species
UACGGGGGGGGGCAAGCGUUGUUCGGAAUCAUUGGGCGUAAAGGGCGCGUAGGUGGCGGGACAAGCGUGCGGUGAAAGCCUGGGGCUCAACCCCGGGUCGGCCGUGCGAACUGUUUUGCUUGAGCACUGUAGAGGCAGGCGGAAUUCCUGGUGUAGCGGUGAAAUGCGCAGAUAUCAGGAAGAACACCCGUGGCUAAGGCGGCUCUCUAGUACGGUACUGACGCUGAGACGCGAAAGCGUGGGGAGCGAACAGG